ensembl:lncRNA novel transcript
CAUGAGAAGGCACAUUGAGAAGCCAGCCGUCUGUGAAUCGGGAAGGGAGCCCUCACCAGAACCCAGCCCAGCUGUACUCUGGACUCGAACUCCCAGCCUCCAGAACUCUGAGAGACCUGGCUGUUCUCACCCUUGGCCCCUGAUUCCUGCAGCGUGAAUCAAAUCUAAAGUCUUCUGGUUCCAUCCUGUUGUGUGGGAAACACAACCCCCUUCCUCUGUGGCCUCCUUUUCCCUCCUGCUGGAGCACCGCUGCUAGGCCUGAUCUGCAAAGCUGCAAGGUUGUUUCCAGCACUUUGGGAACUUAAUAUGUCUACAGCUUUCACACCAGGCUGCCCCUCUUCUCAAAAGACAUCUGAACCUAGCACAGGUUAAUUAGAUCAUUAUUUCAAGAGACAAAAGCUACAAGAAGUCCCCAGCAGCACACACACAUUUCCAGUGAUGUCAGACUUUAAAAUUGUUUGUAUUUAUUCCCUAAAGAAAGAAGUGCUGCCACAGUGAAAUUAUUAUUUUUAAAAGUGCUGCAAAAAUAUUUUACAAACUUUACCUUCAACUGUGAUUUCUCCCUCUUAGCAAUUCAUAAUUAUAUAUUGCCUUCUCCAAAUUCCCAACCUACUGAUUCCAUUCCUAACAGUGAAUGAAUCCUUCUAGUUCCUUUCAUAAUUACUUUAGCUUUUCUCCAGAAAAGCUUUUUGUUGUUGUUUUACUUCGUGGAAACAUAUGGCUGAUGGUGGGGACUUUACUGUUUCCUAAUUUGAAAAAGAAAGCCAUCAACUUCCACUCACCUAUGAAUGGGGUAUUUCCUCGUCGAUGGUCACAUCAGAAGAGGGGCCCAAGUGUGCACCCAGCAUGUACUAAAAGCCGCAAGUGGAGAGCUGGGGCCAUCUGCAGCAGAUGGCCCCACACACAGCGCCACCAUGAAAGGCCAUUGGAAACAAUUAACUCCAUUCACGCUAAGCAGAAAUAAACAAUCACCCAUUCAAGUGAGAAUUAGUUCCACUAUCUUUCUCCAAGUCAUCAAAACAAAGCUCUCCGAGUUGGGAUACCUCCUAAAGUACCUUAGCAGCACGGAACCACACAAACAUCCCCUUGCUUGCCGAUUUCUGUAACCCAAGCCAGAGAUAACUCGACAUUUGCAUUACUAAUUGCUCUCUUCCAGAACUUGUUGACGCUUGGGUUGGUUUUGAAUAGACCGCUAAGUGGCUCUCCAGACAUAAGCAGGGCCCAUCUCACCAACUGCAAACAAGCUCGCCUAUCUGUCAUCAGGCGGCUAUUUCUUUGCUCCAAGAAAUAGACAGAAAGUCCCCUGAACACUCUAGAGGGAUCUGUUUAGAUGAAGAGCGUGGGCGGCCACCCUCCCUCCUGCUUUUCUGCUCUGGCGUUGGCUCUUGAUGCUGAAGGGUCCAUGCACCACACCCGCCUCUCUCCUGCAGGAAGUCCCCAGCCCUGGGAGCCCACGCCUCUCCCCUCGUGCCCUCAGUGGGCGCCUUCCCUAUCCAUCAGUUGCAGGGACAGGUCUUGGUGCUGGCCUGUUCUCCAUAAGCCUCCCCUGCUAAUGCGAUGCUAUGACCAUGCGGCCACUGCCCGCUUUGUCCUGGUACUCCCCAAAAGACUCGGGUUUGAACUGCGGAAACAUUUAGGUGAGGGUGGAAGUGCAAGUCGGUGGCAUAAUUAAUUAAGUGAUUGCAUUUAUGCGGCUCCUCUGCUUUUGAGUCCAAUGCUUAGAAAGUGAAAGGAUCUUAGCUGUGUCAUCACUAGCAUCACAAAUGGAGACAACGGGGCGUGUAGGGAAAGGAUAACUGAGAAGAAGAUACAACAAGCAGGAGCUGCACACGGCAGGGCCGCAGCCGAAAGACGCCCCAGCAGCAACUGGCAUCAAGAUUCCUCAGACUCCAUGAGUCUUGCUGCCAGGGGAUAGGGUCGGGGUGAGAAGAAACCCCUAAAUCGAGACCUGGCUGCCUUUUGCUGGCCAAACCAACCCCCACACAAAUGUCCCUAACUUCAUUUGUUUUCUAGGCCUGUUUCAUAAUCUGUGUUUUUCUCCGGCUUAAUGCAUUCUUCCCCGCCUUUGCCAGAUAUCCAGUAGUGACACAAUAACAGGGACACAAACCAGCAUUAAAGGGUAAUUACCCACACGGCUCACUCCCCGAGCAGGGCUGUGGAGACACGUCUCUCCUCUCUGUUCCCUUCCCCAUUCACCUCCCUGCAAAGGCUUUCUCUAAAUCCUGCCUGUCCUACAAAUCUCAGAUUAUGGUUAGCAUCCUUCAAAAAGCCUUCCGUGGAGGCGCAGCCCCCAUGCUCCGUGGGUAAAGAGUCUGGGCAUGGUACCCUGGUGGCAUGUGGCUCCUGUGGUGCUUGGCAAGGGGCGGCCUGGCCAGUGUUUCAUUUGUCCCUUUUGCCGCUGAAACCGGAAGCUCCUUGAGAGUAUGACCCUUGGAUUUCCAUCCCCAAGACCUGGUACUCCCUGUGUUUACUGGCACUCCAUGCAUGCUUGCUGAACACAUGAAUCGCUGACUUCCUUCUGCUACUCAUUUGGAACCAGAAAAUCUACCUUAUUUUUGUUUCCAUUUUCUUCAUCUCGAAGGUGAGGGGACAAUAGCCUUCCUCCCAAGACUGUGGAAUAAAUAAGAGACACAUCGCUCCAAAACAUUUUUUUUCGAAUGUUUCCACUAUAAAAGAACAGCUAUAUAAAAUGACUUGACAAAUAUGUAAUAAAUGUACUUGCAAAUC